UUGGGCGUAAGAGCUCGUAGGCGGUUUGUCGCGUCUGCUGUGAAAUCCGGAGGCUCAACCUCCCGGCCCUGCAGUGGGUACGGGCAGACUAGAGUGCGGUAGGGGAGAUUGGAAUUCCUGGUGUAGCGGUGGAAUGCGCAGAUAUCAGGAGGAACACCGAUGGGCGAAGGCAGAUCUCUGGGCCGUAACUGACGCUGAGGAGCGAAAGGGUGGGGAGCAAAACAGGCUUAGAUACCCUGGUAGUCCACCCCCGUAAACGUUGGGAACUAGUUGUGGGGUCCAUUUCCACGGGAUUCCGUGACGCAGCUAACGCAUUAAGUUCCCCGCCUGGGGAGUACGGCCGCAAGGCUAAAACUCAAAGGAAUUGACGGGGACCCGCACAAGCGGCGGAGCAUGCGGAUUAAUUCGAUGCAACGCGAAGAACCUUACCAAGGCUUGACAUAUACGAGAACGGGCCAGAAAUGGUCAACUCUUUGGACACUCGUAAACAGGUGGUGCAUGGUUGUCGUCAGCUCGUGUCGUGAGAUGUUGGGUUAAGUCCCGCAACGAGCGCAACCCUCGUUCUAUGUUGCCAGCACGUAAUGGUGGGAACUCAUGGGAUACUGCCGGGGUCAACUCGGAGGAAGGUGGGGAUGACGUCAAAUCAUCAUGCCCCUUAUGUCUUGGGCUUCACGCAUGCUACAAUGGCCGGUACAAAGGGCUGCAAUACCGCGAGGUGGAGCGAAUCCCAAAAAGCCGGUCCCAGUUCGGAUUGAGGUCUGCAACUCGACCUCAUGAAGUCGGAGUCGCUAGUAAUCGCAGAUCAGCAACGCUGCGGUGAAUACGUUCCCGGGUCUUGUACACACCGCCCGUCA
rnacentral:rRNA from 1 species